AAGUCCCUCAGUAGGGUAUUCGACCAUCCAGCUGGAGGAGUAAGGAAGUCCUGUGUCACAGGAAGAGGCUCCCAGCAGAAGGUUUUACAACAGUGUUCUCCCGCUGUUUUCUUUACCUCCAUCAAGGACCCACCAGCCCACUCGGAGCCUCACUUUGUCAAGCUUCCACAAAGGGCAGACCACAGGGAUUCUGAACAAACAGCCCCCCUCUCUCUCACACAUGUUUAGGAAGGAGGGGCCAGUCCGUUUGCAAGGGAGAAAAAGCAAGAGGAACACUGACCUGGUGGACCAUCCGACUACCAAGAGAUUUAAAAGACCCCUCCCCCCAAAACCUUUGCCAGCUGACAGGCGAGGAAGUGGAAGAGCAAGUAGCCCCGAGGUCUCUCAGCCCAUGGGCUGCUAGGCAUGGCCAACCCGGAGAAUGCUUCGGUAGUGGGCCCCCCGAAGGGCAGUGCCUUCCCUCCCCCAAGACCCAACUGGUCCUCUAAUCUGCCGGACCUCCAGAUACCGACGAGUCAGUGUGUUGACAAGCCAUCCCUGGCCAUUCCUAGCCCAUCAAAAAAUGGAAGGAAGUCCAUAGGAAGGGUAUGAGCAGACCGAUUUAAUUAGCGCGGGCUCUAAAGGUACCUUAAGUUGGCCCUAUUAAAUUAAACUGCCUAGGGGAAAAA